CGACGCCAGACUCGCCACUUUGGACUGAGAGCAACCAAGUGCUGAAGAUUACAGUGGGUGAGAUAGUAUGUGUGGAGGGAGAGAGCCAGCCAGUGUUUCAGUUGGCAGGGUUUUGGCACUGAAAGGUGAAAACUGCAGGAAACUGAAGAGCUAUAACUAGUCCAGUAGCUGUCCAGACAUGAAAUCUACCAAGACCUCUGCAACCCACAUUCAAUGCAACUGUUAGUCCUUCUCAGUCACAUUGCAUCCCCAUUAAUAAUGUGGCCAGUGGAUCUGUACAAGUUUGAGCAACAGAAAGAAUGUCCUUAUCUAUAAAGGCCGAUUUUUGAAUCGCCAUGCGGGGGCACUCUACAAACAACAGCAAUGUACAAUUACAAAUGCUUGCAUAGCAGAAGGAAAAAGAAUCUGAAAUGUAACAACGUUAUUGCACAGAUGUAUAAUGUUUAAGUCACUGAAAAGCACCCAACUCAAUGUAGGGGUAGUAAGAACUGCCGAUGCUGGAGUCAGAGAUAACACAGUGUGGAGCUGAUGGAA